rnacentral:rRNA from 1 species
CCACACUGGUACUGCGACACGGUCCAGACUCCUACGGGAGGCAGCAGUGGGGAAUUUUGCGCAAUGGGCGAAAGCCUGACGCAGCGACGCCGCGUGGAGGAUUAAGGCCUUCGGGUUGUAAACUCCUGUCAGAGGUGAAGAAAGUCUCUUCGGAGGCCUGACGGUAACCUCAGAGGAAGCCCCGGCUAACUACGUGCCAGCAGCCGCGGUAAUACGUAGGGGGCAAACGUUGCUCGGAAUUACUGGGCGUAAAGGGUGUGUAGGUGGCUGUGCAAGUCAUUGAUGAAAUCCCGAGGCUCAACCUCGGAAUUGUCUCUGAAACUGCACAGCUUGAGGAUAUUUGAGGAAAACGGAAUUCCCGGUGGAGCGGUGAAAUGCGUAGAUAUCGGGAGGAACACCAGAGGCGAAGGCGGUUUUCUAGAGUAUUCCUGACACUGAGACACGAAAGCUAGGGGAGCGAACGGGAUUAGAUACCCCGGUAGUCCUAGCCGUAAACGAUGGACACUAGUUGCUGGAGGAGUCAAUCCCUUCAGUGACGUAGCUAACGCGUUAAGUGUCCCGCCUGGGGAGUACGCUCGCAAGGGUGAAACUCAAAGGAAUUGACGGGGGCCCGCACAAGCGGUGGAGCAUGUGCUUCAAUUCGAUGCAACGCGAAGAACCUUACCUGGAUUUGACAUGGGAGUGAAAGUUUCCAGAGAUGGAAUCCUUUCCGCAAGGAACACUCUACACAGGUGCUGCAUGGUUGUCGUCAGCUCGUGUCGUGAGAUGUUGGGUUAAGUCCCGCAACGAGCGCAACCCCUAUCCUUAGUUGCCAUCAGGUAAAGCUGGGAACUCUAGGGAGACUGCCUGGUGUAACCAGGAGGAAGGUGGGGAUGACGUCAAAUCCUCAUGGCCCUUACGUCCAGGGCUAGACACGUGCUACAAUGGCCGGUACAAUGGGCUGCGAACCUGCGAGGGCAAGCUAAUCCCACAAAACCGGUCUCAGUUCGGAUUAGAGUCUGCAACUCGACUCUAUGAAGUUGGAAUCGCUAGUAAUCGUGGAUCAGCAUGCCACGGUGAAUACGUUCCCGGGCCUUGUACACACCGCCCGUCACACCACGAAAGUUGGUUGUACCAGAAGUUGUUGGGCUAACCCCCGAUUUAUCGGGGGAGGCAGACACCUAAGGUAUGGCUGGUGAUUGGGGUGAAGUCGUAACAAGGUAACC